CGGACGGGUGAGUAACGCGUGGGUAACCUGCCUUAUACAGGGGGAUAACAGUUAGAAAUGACUGCUAAUACCGCAUAAGCGCACAGGAUUGCAUGAUCUGGUGUGAAAAACUCCGGUGGUAUAAGAUGGACCCGCGUCUGAUUAGCUUGUUGGUGAGGUAACGGCCCACCAGGGCGACGAUCAGUAGCCGACCUGAGAGGGUGACCGGCCACAUUGGGACUGAGACACGGCCCAAACUCCUACGGGAGGCAGCAUG
rnacentral:rRNA from 1 species